rnacentral:lncRNA from 1 species
UUUUGUGCUUCUGUGGAGUUUGCCAUCUCUAUCUGAGUGGGGAGGAUUAGCUUUUCUUAUCUAUGUCUGGUGUUCAGAGGUUUUAGCCCUAGGCAUAUUGUCCGUUCUAUGCCUUGGCCCUUGUUUCUGUGCCUCAGCCAGCUGGAAGAGCCAGCACUCUGAGGAGGGAGGGGCCUUGGUUUCCGGGAGCUCUGAGGGCUGUUGAUAGGAUUAACCUCAGACUUAUUAUGCCCUCAGGCAGAGACCUUCAGUGAGACCCAGAUGGAAGUUCCUGGUCAGGGGGCUACAGGCUCCUCCUGUCUUUCUCUGUUUCCCUGCUGUCUGGGUGCCCCCUCGACUGGGUCAGGUCUAGGAGGAGUGUUUCCGGGGUCUAUUCUGCUGUUUCUUUUGAAUUUCAAUGCCCUAGGAGCAUUCUGUUUGAGAUCGGAACUAUAUAUUGUGAGUAACAUGUGAGAGACUCUGGAGUCCCAAGGAAAAUGGCCUGGAAUCCUGUUCUAUUCUGAGGUGUGGCAGUGGAAGAAAAGGAAUGAAGAAAGAGCAGGAAUGGGUGAGUGUGGCCUCUGAGGGACUGAUUCAGCUGUGAUCACUCCCAGGAGAGUGAGAUCUCUGGU